AGAUUGAACGCUGGCGGCAUGCCUUACACAUGCAAGUCGAACGGUAGAGUAGCAAUACUCGAGAGUGGCGAACGGGUGAGUAAUAUAUCGGAACGUGCCCAGUCGUGGGGGAUAACGUAGAGAAAUUUACGCUAAUACCGCAUACGAUCUAAGGAUGAAAGCGGGGGAUUCGCAAGAACCUCGCGCGAUUGGAGCGGCUGAUAUCAGAUUAGGUUGUUGGUGAGGUAAAAAGCUCACCAAGCCGACGAUCUGUAGCUGGUUUGAGAGAACGACCAGCCACACUGGGACUGAGACACGGCCCAGACUCCUACGGGAGGCAGCAGUGGGGAAUUUUGGACAAUGGGCGAAAGCCUGAUCCAGCAAUGCCGCGUGCAGGAAGAAGGCCUUCGGUUGUAAACUGCUUUUUGUACGGAACGAAAAGGCUCUUUCUAAUAAAGUAGGCCCAUGACGUACCGUAAGAAUAAGACACCGGCUAACUACGUAGCCAGCAGCCGCGGUAAUCUA
rnacentral:rRNA from 1 species